rnacentral:rRNA from 1 species
UACGUAGGGUGCGAGCGUUGUCCGGAAUUAUUGGGCGUAAAGAGCUUGUAGGCGGUUUGUCGCGUCUGCUGUGAAAGUCCGGGGCUCAACUCCGGAUCUGCGGUGGGUACGGGCAGACUAGAGUGAUGUAGGGGAGACUGGAAUUCCUGGUGUAGCGGUGAAAUGCGCAGAUAUCAGGAGGAACACCGAUGGCGAAGGCAGGUCUCUGGGCAUUAACUGACGCUGAGGAGCGAAAGCAUGGGGGAGCGAACAGG